CUGCUGCCUUCCGUAGGAGUCUGGGCCGUGUCUCAGUCCCAGUGUGGCCGUCCACCCUCUCAGGCCGGCUGCUGAUCGUCNCUUUGGUGGGCCGUUACCCCGCCAACUGGCUAAUCAGACGCGGGCCCAUCCUGUACCACCGGAGUUUUCAAAGGAUUACCAUGCGGUAUUCCCUAUUAUGCGGUAUUAGCACCUAUUUCUAAGUGUUAUCCCCCGGUACAGGGCAGGUUGCCCACGCGUUACUCACCCGUCCGCCACUAAGACAG
rnacentral:rRNA from 1 species